UCAACGACUCUCGGCAACGGAUAUCUCGGCUCUCGCAUCGAUGAAGAACGUAGCGAAAUGCGAUACUUGGUGUGAAUUGCAGAAUCCCGUGAACCAUCGAGUCUUUGAACGCAAGUUGCGCCCGAGGCCUUCGGGCCGAGGGCACGCCUGCCUGGGCGUCACGCAUCGCGUCGC
rnacentral:rRNA from 1 species